AUUGAACACUGGCGGCAGGCCUAACACAUGCAAGUCGAGCGGAGCGGCGGACGGGUGAGUAAGGCCUAGGAAUAUGCCUGGUAGUGGGGGAUAACGUACGGAAACGGGCGCUAAUACCGCAUACUAUCAGAUGAGCCUAGGUCGGAUUAGCUAGUUGGUGGGGUAAAGGCCUACCAAGGCGACGAUCCGUAACUUGUCUGAGAGGAUGAUCAGUCACACUGCAACUGAGACACGGUCCAUCCUCCUACGAGAGGCAGCAGUGGGGAAUAUUGGACAAUGGGCGAAAGCCUGAUCCAGCCAUGCCGCGUGUGUGAAGAAGGUCUUCGGUUUGUAAAGCACUUUAAGUUGGGAGGCGUUACCAACAGAAUAAGCACCGGCUAACUUCGUGCCAGCAGCCGCGGUAAUUC
rnacentral:rRNA from 1 species